UUUAAAAAGAACAUUUUGUUAUCAAUUAUGAAUCAUAAUUGAGACAUUGUAAUUUACAGUAUCGUAUAUUGUGGAAAGAUCGAUCAAAGUUGCAGAGAGCGGACAACUGCAAAUCGAGACACUGAAAUAGAGGAAUAAAGGCAAUCAUAGGGGAGAGGAAGCGUGUUUAAUCAGAUGAGGAUGAAUAAAUGUCAGUGACAACACCACCAAGGCAUUCGAAGGUGACAGUGGCAGGACUGUUCUGCAGGCAUCACAACAGUUACUAUAAGAUCCACAAACAGUUGCACCAUCUCUACAGAGGGUGUCGUGAAAUUCCGUCGUUUCUCACAACAGAGGUGCGAGCGAAAAAUGCCGCCUGGAUGAAGACAGCAUCGGACAGAGAUGGUGGGAGGGAAAUGAGGCAGACGCAAAUAUCUGAGUGCAUCCUUGAAACACCGGGAUGAAAAAACAAAACAAUAUUAUGUUAAAAACGCUUAAUGUUUAAUGCAGUAGCGUUACCUUAAGUAUCGUUCAAUGAAAUAACUUUUAUUUCAAGUCUUAUUUUGU